GCAAGUCGAGGGGAAACGACAUUGGAAGCUUGCUUCCGAUGGGCGUCGACCGGCGCACGGGUGAGUAACGCGUAUCCAACCUGCCCACCACUUGGGAAUAACCUUGCGAAAGUAAGACUAAUGCCCAAUGAUAUUGAGUGCAGACAUCUAAUCUCAAUUAAAGAUUCAUCGGUGAUGGAUGGGGAUGCGUCCGAUUAGCCUGUUGGCGGGGUAACGGCCCACCAAGGCAACGAUCGGUAGGGGUUCUGAGAGGAAGGUCCCCCACAUUGGAACUGAGACACGGUCCAAACUCCUACGGGAGGCAGCAGUGAGGAAUAUUGGUCAAUGGGCGAGAGCCUGAACCAGCCAAGUAGCGUGCAGGAUGACGGCCCUAUGGGUUGUAAACUGCUUUUAUAAGGGAAUAAAGUGGGGCUCGUGAGCUCCUUUGCAUGUACCUUAUGAAUAAGGACCGGCUAAUUCCGUGCCAGCAGCCGCGGUAAUACGGAAGGUCCGGGCGUUAUCCGGAUUUAUUGGGUUUAAAGGGAGCGUAGGCCGCAGGUUAGGCGUGUUGUGAAAUGUAGGGGCUCAACCUCUGCACUGCAGCGCGAACUGGCUUGCUUGAGUACGCACAACGUGGGCGGAAUUCGUGGUGUAGCGGUGAAAUGCUUAGAUAUCACGAAGAACUCCGAUUGCGAAGGCAGCUCACGGGAGCGCAACUGACGCUGAAGCUCGAAAGUGCGGGUAUCGAACAGGAUUAGAUACCCUGGUAGUCCGCACGGUAAACGAUGGAUGCCCGCUGUUGGCUUGAAUUAGUCAGCGGCCAAGCGAAAGCAUUAAGCAUCCCACCUGGGGAGUACGCCGGCAACGGUG
rnacentral:rRNA from 1 species